GAAAUCCGGAUUAAUACCGCAUGUGCUCUACGGAGGAAAGCGGGCCUCUAUUUAUAAGCUCGCGCUUUGAGAUAAGCCUAUGUCGGAUUAGCUUAUUGGUAGGGUAACGGCCUACCAAGGCGACGAUCCGUAGCUGGUUUGAGAGGAUGAUCAGCCACACUGGGACUGAGACACGGCCCAGACUCCUACGGGAGGCAGCAGUGGGGAAUAUUGGACAAUGGGCGCAAGCCUGAUCCAGCAAUGCCGCGUGUGUGAAGAAGGCCUGCGGGUUGUAAAGCACUUUUAUUGGGAAAGAAAAACUUAGGGUUAGUACCCUUGGGUCUUGACGGUACCCAAAGAAUAAGCACCGGCUAACUCAGUGCCAGCAGCCGCGGUAAUACUGAGGGUGCAAGCGUUAAUCGGAAUUACUGGGCGUAAAGCGAGUGUAGGCGGCUUCGUAAGUCGGAUGUGAAAGCCCUGGGCUUAACCUGGGNAAUGGCAUUCGAUACUGCGCGGCUAGAGUCUGAUA
rnacentral:rRNA from 1 species